CCAUCAGAACUCCGCAGUUUAAGCGUGCUUGGGCGAGAGUAGUACUAAGAUGGGUCACUUGGUGAGAAGUCCUCAUGUUGCACCCC
rnacentral:rRNA from 1 species